rnacentral:rRNA from 1 species
AUACGGAGGAUGCGAGCGUUAUCCGGAUUUAUUGGGUUUAAAGGGAGCGUAGGUGGGAUGUUAAGUCAGCUGUGAAAGUUUGGGGCUCAACCUUAAAAUUGCAGUUGAUACUGGUUUCCUUGAGUACGGUACAGGUGGGCGGAAUUCGUGGUGUAGCGGUGAAAUGCUUAGAUAUCACGAAGAACUCCGAUCGCGAAGGCAGCUCCCCAAGCCGGGACUGACACUGAUGCUCGAAAGUGCUGUUAUCAAACAGGAUUAGAUACCCUGGUAGGCCGAAGAGUAAACGCUGAAUACUCGAUGUUUGCGAUACACGGUAAGCGGCCAAGCGAAAGCGUUAAGUAUUCCAGCUGGGCAGUACGGUGUCAACGGUGAAGCUCAAAUGAAUUGACUGUG